rnacentral:rRNA from 1 species
UAGGGAAUUUUCGUCAAUGGGCGCAAGCCUGAACGAGCAAUGCCGCGUGAGUGAGGAAGGCCUUCGGGUCGUAAACUUCUUUUAUCAGGGACGAAGGAUGUGACGGUACCUGAUGAAUAAGCUCCGGCUAACUACGUGCCAGCAGCCGCGGUAAUACGUAGGUGGCGAGCGUUAUCCGGAAUGAUUGGGCGUAAAGGGUGCGUAGGCGGCCUGUUAAGUCUGAAGUGAAAGGUACCGGCUCAACCGGUACAGGCUUUGGAAACUAGCAGGCUGGAGGACAGGAGAGGGCGGUGGAACUCCAUGUGUAGCGGUAAAAUGCGUAGAUAUAUGGAAGAACACCAGUGGCGAAGGCGGCCGCCUGGCCUGUUACUGACGCUGAGGCACGAAAGCGUGGGGAGCAAAUAGGAUUAGAUACC